GUGGGGAAUAUUGGACAAUGGGCGAAAGCCUGAUCCAGCCAUGCCGCGUGUGUGAAGAAGGUCUUCGGAUUGUAAAGCACUUUAAGUUGGGAGGAAGGGCAGUAAGUUAAUACCUUGCUGUUUUGACGUUACCGACAGAAUAAGCACCGGCUAACUUCGUGCCAGCAGCCGCGGUAAUACGAAGGGUGCAAGCGUGAAUCGGAAUUACUGGGCGUAAAGCGCGCGUAGUUGGUUCAGCAAGUUGGAGGUGAAAUCCCCGGGAUCAACCUGGGAACUGCCUCCAAAACUGCUGGGCUAGAGUACGGUAGAGGGUAGUGGAAUUUCCUGUGUAGCGGUGAAAUGCGUAGAUAUAGGAAGGAACACCAGUGGCGAAGGCGACUACCUGGACUGAUACUGACACUGAGGUGCGAAAGCGUGGGGAGCAAACAGGAUUAGAAACCCUGGUAGUCC
rnacentral:rRNA from 1 species